CUCGCCGCUAAGGGCACUCACCUGGCCGGGAGGUGGCGCUGCUGUGGGCCGCGCUGAGGCUUCGCGUCGCGGGUUCGGGGCUCCCGGGGGUCCCUGGAGGCUCGAGAUGACUUCGUUCAGCGGUUCCUCCACGCCUUCUGUGGUGAUGAUUUGCAGCCUGAUAGCAUAUCAAGGAAACACAGGACUUAUAUCUGUAAAGUGGACUGUGACUGUCAGGGAAGAGGCAUCUUCAUCGCCAAACCUGAGGACAUAAAACCUGGGCAGGACAGAUAAGGAGGUGCUGUCCUUGUCCAAAGAACUUACAACACCUGCCGUGAUAAAAGGAUGGGUUUAAGGCUCUGGCUUCAAGUUUCUUCUACCAGCAAAUGAACAAAUACAACCUCGUUCAGCAUCUCACUCAGUGUCCCAUUCAGCUUGAUCUUCAUCCAUUGUCCAGAGCUUACUGCUUUGUAUUAGCUCUGCAGAACAGUAGCACGAAGCAAUAAUCAGUGCUUCAUCCUCACUUUUUUUACUUAAUUUUUAACACUGGUUAACUCUGUAACAUAGACUGAGUGGAUGAUCUCCAUUUCAUCAGGAACGAAUUUAGUCUACACCAUCAAUCCCAUUUUGAAGCAGCCACUGAUAUGAGCUGUUUCUCCUUGGGAGACAGAUGAGUCUGUGUUUCAAGGAAGGCCAUUCCAAUGCAAGGUAUCCGUAAAAUAUUAAUCUUUUAAUAUAUUUUAAUAGAAGCUUGGUUACGAACGAGGCUACUCACAUCAGUGAUGUUCUGUUUCCUAUAUGGAAAUACGGUACAAAUGACUGGAAAAACAUUUGGGUGUAAAGGAAAACGGAGAAGGAUCAGUUCAGUAUUAUAACUAAAUGCAUGCUGAAUAACGGCCAUGUAGAGCAAGCUUGAGGGACAGUUAUCAAGGUAAUUAGUAUCUCUUCCUUUUGUCCUUUAGUUCUGGAACUGAAUGUCCAGGCAGAACUAAAGCAAGGCAUGUUAGAAACACCAUAUGUACAAAGCACCACUGAUGGAUUGGGAAAAGAUUGUUAUGUCAGUAUGGUGGGUAGGGAAACUGAGGCAUGGAACGUGGUGUUAAUUGGCAGAAGACCACCUCUGUGUCUGGAUUUCUCACUAACAUCCUCUGUGACCCACAGAGUGAGGAACAGAACCAAAUUGUUUGUUCUCUCCACUGUGGUGUAGACAAUUUUGAUAGCUUCAACCUGGUCUUGGUUCCUGCUCUGACAAUCAAUGGCACAGGGCCGGAUCAGACAGCAAAGAUGCCCCUCAGUAGUGUCAGCCCUUACUGACUCUUAGGCAGUGGGAGAUCCCAUAACAUUCAUCUCUACAGCCUUGUUCUGACCAAUUAGAGUAUCGGUGUAGGGAUUAAAAUGGCCAGCAUUGUAAUCAUAGUCAGGAAACAGCAAAUCAAAGCAGGAGAACUGGAAUUUCGAGGGUCCAUCAGGGUGCUGACCAGUGAGUUUGACCAGGAUAGCGGAUCCUUGAGAUCUGAGAACUGCACCUCUUUAUUUAAGAGGAGGAAAACCAGCCGAGGUCGUACUACAAAAAAAAAAAAAAUAAGCCACUGUCCACUUGCUCUGGCUGCAAAGCACAUUUUCAAUAAGUUUCUGCUCUAACAAGCUGCAUCAGUUUCAUCUCAGUAGAUCUGAUGGUUACUGAGCAGUGCUCAAUGUUCUGGAGGGUGCCAGGCACAUAAUUGUUUUUACAACAUUGUAAAAUGAAUCAGACUGAAAUUAGUGUCACUCAGCAGAACCACUUUCCUUCCUUUUAAAUUACUUAAUCCGAGGGUUAAUCAAAAAGAAAAUGAAGUUUCGACACUGCCCUUCAGCUAAGGGCAAGCACAGGUUCAGCUGCCUGCACUGCAUCUGCCUGUGAAGUGCUUUGCAUAUCAGCUCCUGCACUGAUACGCGUGCUGCUUCCCCACUGCUAUUUGAAGGGGGGAGGAUAGGGCUGUCUUGGGAGUGCUUCCCACACGGAAGUCAAAUGGGGAGAGGAAGGAAGCAAAAGCCAUUUUGUCAUCUAAUUCCUGAGAAAUGAGAGCUAGAGAAAUUAUAGGGAAAGGGGUUUUUCUGCAGGAAGGUCCUUCCGUGAGCACACAGCCUGUUCCAGCCAUUAGCUAUAAAGUACACAGGGGUUCUCAGCCCUCUUUGGUGCCUCUUGUCCUCAGGAGCUGAGAUGUGAGUGGUUAAUAUGGUCGGGAUAUGCCAUCAUGUAAGAACCUCAAAUAGCAUCUCCUCCAUUCCUCCGGUCUUUAUUGGCUCCUUGCUGAGACAAUCCCAGCUUCUGUUGUUCUGCCCACUUUGAACUGUGUAUUUUGGAAACAAUUCUAAUAAAUUUCCC
rnacentral:lncRNA from 1 species